UACGGAGGGUGCGAGCGUUGUCCGGAAUCACUGGGCGUAAAGGGCGCGUAGGCGGCCUGAUAAGUAGGGGGUGAAAUCCUGCGGCUUAACCGCAGGGCUGCCUUCUAAACUGUCAGGCUCGAGCACAGUAGAGGCAGGUGGAAUUCCCGGUGUAGCGGUGGAAUGCGUAGAGAUCGGGAAGAACAUCAGUGGCGAAGGCGGCCUGCUGGGCUGUUGCUGACGCUGAGACGCGAAAGCGUGGGGAGCAAACAGG
rnacentral:rRNA from 1 species